rnacentral:rRNA from 1 species
GACGAACGCUGGCGGCGUGCUUAACACAUGCAAGUCGAACGGAAAGGCCCUGCUUUUGUGGGGUGCUCGAGUGGCGAACGGGUGAGUAACACGUGAGUAACCUGCCCUUGACUUUGGGAUAACUUCAGGAAACUGGGGCUAAUACCGGAUAGGAGCUCCUGCUGCAUGGUGGGGGUUGGAAAGUUUCGGCGGUUGGGGAUGGACUCGCGGCUUAUCAGCUUGUUGGUGGGGUAGUGGCUUACCAAGGCUUUGACGGGUAGCCGGCCUGAGAGGGUGACCGGCCACAUUGGGACUGAGAGACGGCCCGGACGCCUGCGGGAGGCAGCAGUGGGGAAUGGUGCACAAUGGGCGGAAGCCUGAUGCAGCAACGCCGCGUGCGGGAUGAGGGCCUUCGGGUUGUAAACCGCUUUCGCCUGUGACGAAGCGUGCGUGACGGUAAUGGGUAAAGAAGCACCGGCUAACUACGU